rnacentral:rRNA from 1 species
UACGUAGGGGGCAAGCGUUGUCCGGAAUCAUUGGGCGUAAAGAGCGUGUAGGCGGCCCGGUAAGUCCGCUGUGAAAACUCGAGGCUCAACCUCGAGACGUCGGCGGAAACCAUCUGGCUAGAGUCCGGAAGAGGAGAGUGGAAUUCCUGGUGUAGCGGUGAAAUGCGCAGAUAUCAGGAAGAACACCCGUGGCGAAGGCGGCUCUCUGGGACGGUACUGACGCUGAGACGCGAAAGCGUGGGGAGCGAACAGG